UACGUAGGGUGCGAGCGUUGUCCGGAAUUAUUGGGCGUAAAGAGCUUGUAGGCGGUUUGUCGCGUCUGCUGUGAAAAUCCGGGGCUCAACCCCGGACUUGCAGUGGGUACGGGCAGACUAGAGUGUGGUAGGGGAGACUGGAAUUCCUGGUGUAGCGGUGAAAUGCGCAGAUAUCAGGAGGAACACCGGUGGCGAAGGCGGGUCUCUGGGCCGAUACUGACGCUGAGGAGCGAAAGCGUGGGGAGCAAACAGG
rnacentral:rRNA from 1 species